AACACAUUUUUAAAAAUUUAAAUCAUGCAGAGUGUUUUCUCUGACUAUAAUAGAAUAAAACUAGAAUUCAAUAACAGAAAGAUACCAGCAAAAUCUCGAGAA